rnacentral:rRNA from 1 species
UACGGAGGGUGCAAGCGUUAAUCGGAAUUACUGGGCGUAAAGCGCACGCAGGCGGUUUGUUAAGUCGGAUGUGAAAUCCCCGAGCUUAACUUGGGAACUGCAUUUGAAACUGGCAAGCUAGAGUCUUGUAGAGGGGGGUAGAAUUCCAGGUGUAGCGGUGAAAUGCGUAGAGAUCUGGAGGAAUACCGGUGGCGAAGGCGGCCCCCUGGACAAAGACUGACGCUCAGGUGCGAAAGCGUGGGGAGCAAACAGG